CUUCGGAACUGAGACCGGCGCACGGGUGCGUAACGCGUAUGUAAUCUACCCUUUCACAGAGGGAUAGCCCAGAGAAAUUUGGAUUAAUACCUCAUAGUAUUAUAGUAUGGCAUCAUAUUAUAAUUAAAGUCACAACGGUGAAAGAUGAGCAUGCGUCCCAUUAGCUUGUUGGUAAGGUAACGGCUUACCAAGGCAACGAUGGGUAGGGGUCCUGAGAGGGAGAUCCCCCACACUGGUACUGAGACACGGACCAGACUCCUACGGGAGGCAGCAGUGAGGAAUAUUGGACAAUGGGCGCAAGCCUGAUCCAGCCAUGCCGCGUGCAGGAUGACGGUCCUAUGGAUUGUAAACUGCUUUUGCACAGGAAGAAACAACGCUACGUGUAGCGUCUUGACGGUACUGUGAGAAUAAGGAUCGGCUAACUCCGUGCCAGCAGCCGCGGUAAUACGGAGGAUCCAAGCGUUAUCCGGAAUCAUUGGGUUUAAAGGGUCCGUAGGCGGUCUUACAAGUCAGUGGUGAAAUCUCCCCGCUCAACGGGGAAACGGCCAUUGAUACUGUAGGACUUGAAUUAUUAGGAAGUAACUAGAAUAUGUAGUGUAGCGGUGAAAUGCUUAGAGAUUACAUGGAAUACCAAUUGCGAAGGCAGGUUACUACUAAUGGAUUGACGCUGAUGGACGAAAGCGUGGGUAGCGAACAGGAUUAGAUACCCUGGUAGUCCACGCCGUAAACGAUGGAUACUAGCUGUUGGAAGCAAUUUCAGUGGCUAAGCGAAAGUGAUAAGUAUCCCACCUGGGGAGUACGUUCGCAAGAAUGAAACUCAAAGGAAUUGACGGGGGCCCGCACAAGCGGUGGAGCAUGUGGUUUAAUUCG
rnacentral:rRNA from 1 species